rnacentral:tRNA from 1 species
GGGGCCGUAGCUUAGCAUGGUUGGAGCACCCGGCUGAUAGGACCGGGAGGUCGCCGGUUCAAAUCCGGUCGGCCCCA